GGGGGCGUAUCUCAGAUGGUAGAUCUCUCGCUUAGCAUGCGAAAGGUACGGGGCUCGAUACCCGCGCCUCCA